rnacentral:rRNA from 1 species
AUGUCGCAACUCUUUUGUGCUAUACUCUACACACAGCACAAGAACACUGACAUAUUCGUACAAACACUGGGCCGGUUGCCAGUGUGUGACAGGCACGGAUCAUUCGAUGCGGAUCGAGAAAUUACGGUCGCGGUCGCGGUCGCCAGAAGCCGCGAGGGGACGAAUGACCGGGUGCACCGCGAUCCGACGUGGCCCAAUGGCGCGGCGCGGGGCCUUAUCCGAUGGUAUCGCGCCUCAUCCCAACUCCAUCCACACACACACCACAAGUACUCUCGCGCCUCCGGACCCCACCGAUCACCUUAG